UACGGGGGGGGCAAGCGUUGUUCGGAAUUACUGGGCGUAAAGGGCUCGUAGGUGGCCAACUAAGUCAGACGUGAAAUCCCUCGGCUUAACCGGGGAACUGCGUCUGAUACUGGAUGGCUUGAGUUCGGGAGAGGGAUGCGGAAUUCCAGGUGUAGCGGUGAAAUGCGUAGAUAUCUGGAGGAACACCGGUGGCGAAGGCGGCAUCCUGGCCCGACACUGACACUGAGGAGCGAAAGCCAGGGGAGCAAACGGG
rnacentral:rRNA from 1 species